UAACAAAAAGAAGAAAAACUAAGAAAAUAACUUGAAACUUGCAUGCAACUUUUCGCUAGUGAAUAUUUUUGAAACGUAAGUUGAAUAUGCAAUUUGGAAUAUACAUACAUAUAAACAAACAUACUUAUAUAUAAAACUUUUCCCAGAAAAUAUAUGCAUACAUAUAGCAUAUGCAAAAACAAAAACAAAUUGCAACCCAACAUUUAUGUAACGGCAUUUUUAGUUGAAUUCUUCGCUAAAAACAAAAAUUACUACUUUAAAACGAAAACUUAUGAAUCGAACGAAUACAAAAACAAAACACUUAAAAAUUUUAAUAAAUAAAAAGCUGACAAUAAAAUGCUUGUGCAGAUUUUUUUCUCUAUUCACAUUAUUUAUUGCCAUUCGCAAACACCUAAAACUACAUACAUACUUACAUAAUUAUCUUGUACUUUUCAUUAUUUUCCCUCGGUGCAUGCUCUAUUCAAGCUUGCCUGGACCGGCGUCUGGCUCUGCCUAAAAUUGGCUUCAAAUGCAAACACGCAAAUUCGCUAUUCGUUAUACUCGACUCGCUUAAUUCGUCAAUUUUGUCAGAUAUUCAAAUUCAAAUUCAAUUACAAUGCACACAUACAUACAAUAAUUUUUAUGAAUCGCAUUCAUCGUUCGAUUUCGAUUUGGUUUGGCUCGCGGUUGACCUACAAACAACUAAAUCAUUUGUGUUCAAAACUCGCUCAGUUUGUGGUAUAUACAAUGGACUUUAAUUUUUUAUUUUUAUUUUUUCAAAAUAAUGCUAUGCAUAUAUAUACAUAUGUAUAUAUAUAUAUAUUUUUUUGGUUAUUGCUAAAUCAUUCACGUGUUUUUUUAUUAUUACAUAUGUACAUGCAUACAUAUGUAGUUACCUAUGUAUGUGCUGCUAUAACUACGAUCUACGUACGUAUAUGCAUACAUAACUACAUUUUUAUUUAGCUUUAAUUUCUUUUGUUCUUGUUUAUGAUUAGCUAUUAAAGCGCUUUUUUAUCUAAAAGUUUUCUAUUUGAAUUCUAUUUGUAUGUACAAAAUAUUACUUAAUUGUAGGAGAAAGCAAAAUAUUAAAAAUUGUUUGUGAAAAAAAA